UGGAAGGAAAGUGUGCAACAAUUGCUAUUUUUUUUCAGUUUAACGAGGGGGGAACUUUCUGCACCUGAUACUAAAACUUAGCAUAAAGCUAUGGUGAUCAGGACAGCAUGGCUUUGCCACAGAGAUAGAUCAGUAAAAAAUAACAGAAGUCCAGAAAAUGUUCCAAGUGUGUAUGAGAAGUUAAUAUUUGAAAAUGGCAUUUAAAUUGGGAGAGUCAAGGAUGGCUUAUAAUUAGUAGAGUUAUCUGGUUGGAAAGAGUAAUUAUAACUGUAUGAAAAAACAAAUUCCAGAUGGGUUAAAGAGCUAGGUAUAAAAUAGCCCUGCACUCACGAUGGACGAAAGCCUAGGAGGAUGUCUUUAACCUCAGUGUGCUGGUGCAGGACAGAGGGGAGGCUGCUCACAUCUGGAAAACCAUCCAGAAAGACUGAUAGAACCGAGUCCUGUACAUCAGGAAAAUAUGGAUCUAAAGCACGAGGUGGCUUUCACUUGUCACAUGGGUAAAGAAUUGACUGAAUACAUCCAGAGUUGGUGAGGGCUCCCUCACCAACUCAUCUACUGCCAAUGUGUAUGCUGCCACUGUAUUUCUGGAAAGUAGACGGCCUCUAUUAAUACAUGCACGCUGUAUUCACAUGCAUGUAUGUGCAAAGAACAGUCUAGAAGGAUAUAUUCUAAACUGCUGACAGUGGGCUGCCCUUGAGGAGGGAUCGGGAGGAAGCGGAGGGUCUGUGCAAUAUGUUACUGAACUUUAAAACAGAGCUGUGUUCGUGUGUUGUGUAAUGAAAACACAACUGAAAAACGUGCAUGCCCUUUGAGCUGGCAAUUCCAGCUUUAGGAUUUACAGUGGUGAACAAAGUCUGUUUUCCUGAAGCUUCCAGUCCAGUGCGGCGGGAUCUAUCAGACAGCGUAGUUACCAGCUGUGCCAGAGCACCACGAAGGAGAGGGAGCUAGGCAAGUUCGAAAGUGGAGUGGAACGGAGGAGAACCUGAUUUGGGUGCAUCCCAACUUCAGAGAUGUUGGAGUGUGUGUGUCUUAGAGUCUUAGACUUCAAAGUAUUUGACCUGAAAGUGGUAAAGACAGGCUUUCCUGAGGACGUUGUGCAUCUGUUAAAAAGUGCAAUGAGGGGCGCCUGGGUGGCGCAGUCGGUUAAGCGUCCGACUUCAGCCAGGUCACGAUCUCGCGGUCCGGGAGUUCGAGCCCCGCGUCAGGCUCUGGGCUGAUGGCUCAGAGCCUGGAGCCUGUUUCCGAUUCUGUGUCUCCCUCUCUCUCUGCCCCUCCCCCGUUCAUGCUCUGUCUCUCUCUGUCCCAAAAAAAUAAAUAAACGUUGAAAAAAAAAAUUAAAAAAAAAAAA